rnacentral:ncRNA from 18 species
GGGUGUCCGGUCUUUGCGGGAGCGGGCAGGGUCUUUUGCGCUGGUCGGGCCGCCAGCG